CAAUAGCGUAUAUUUAAGUUGUUGCAGUUAAAAAGCUCGUAGUUGGAUUUCGGUUAAGAGCGACCGGUCCGCCGUUUGGUGUGCAUUGGUUGGUUUUAACUUCCUGUAGAGGACGUGCUCUGGGUUUAACGACCUGGACUCGGAGUCUACGUGGUUACUUUGAAAAAAUUAGAGUGUUCAAAGCGGGCUUACGCUUGAAUAUUUCAGCAUGGAAUAACACUAUAGGACUCCUGUCCUAUUUCGUUGGUCUCGGGACGGGAGUAAUGAUUAAGAGGAACAGUUGGGGGCAUUCGUAUUUCAUUGUCAGAGGUGAAAUUCUUGGAUUUAUGAAAGACGAACUUCUGCGAAAGCAUUUGCCAAGGAUGUUUUCAUUAA
rnacentral:rRNA from 1 species